UGGGGAAUAUUGGACAAUGGGGGAAACCCUGAUCCAGCAAUGCCGCGUGAAUGAAGAAGGCCUUAGGGUUGUAAAAUUCUUUUGUUCGUGAAGAUAAUGACGGUAGCGGACGAAUAAGCCCUGGCUAACUCUGUGCCAGCAGCCGCGGUAAUACAGAGAGGGCAAGCGUUGUCCGGAAUGACUGGGCGUAAAGCGCGCGCAGGCGGUUUGUUAAGUCAGAGGUGAAAUCCCGGAGCUCAACUUCGGAACUGCCUUUGAUACUGGCAAUCUAGAGUCCGGAAGAGGUUAGUGGAAUUCCCAGUGUAGAGGUGAAAUUCGUAGAUAUUGGGAAGAACACCAGUGGCGAAGGCGGCUAACUGGUCCGGUACUGACGCUGAGGUGCGAAAGCGUGGGGAGCAAACAGGAUUAGAUACCCCGGUAGUCCCUGAGCGGGCUGGCAAGGCGCAU
rnacentral:rRNA from 1 species